UGAAUAUCAAUAAUGAUGAUAAGAAUAAAAAUUAUCUAUUCUCAACACUCCCAACAAGAUAAUAGGUGGAUGCGGCAGCAGGCAAAGCUUGACAUCGUCACGCAACACAUCAAACUUACAGACAGACAAUUACUCGUUAAAUCUUCUGUGGAUAUGAACUUUGACUAAUUGCUCUGUAUAAAAUGAUAGUCAAGCUCGAUGUGUUUUGUAUAUGAACAUGAAAAAUAGAAUUGCUUGUUAAAUAAAUCGCUUCUAAGGUUGCCAGUGUGGAAGAGUGGAAACCUUGCUCACAAAGCAAAGAGCGAAUAGCAUCAAGUCUUGUUUGAAGAGGCUCCAGGAUAUGAAUGCUUUGCCAAGGCAAAUAGCAUAGCGCAGCCAUUGAUAAACCAUCUUUCAUCCUUUACUAACUCUACACUUUCUUCUGCUACAACCAAACAUACCCUUUGAGUUCUUCACUCGCACGAUUAGGAAAACAUUUUUCAAUUUGGCAUGAAUGAGAAAUUAGAAUUGGUUGAAUAGUAUUAUUAUGAGAAAAGCUUCGCUGCUUUUAUGGGACCCUCAACCCAAUUUUCUCAUGUAAAGGUGGCAUUCGUUUGGGUAGAUGAGGCAACUUUGCAAGA
rnacentral:misc_RNA from 1 species